rnacentral:lncRNA from 1 species
GGGGUACCGGUACAGAGUCAAUGUGGAGGCUAUAUACAGGGGGUACUGGUACAGAGUCAAUGCGGAGGCUAUAUACAGGGGGUACCAGUACAGAGUCAAUGUGGAGGCUAUAUACAGGGGGUACCGUUACAGAGUCAAUGUGGAGGCUAUAUACAGGGGGUACCGGAACAGAGUCAAUGUGGAGGCUAUAUACAGGGGGUACCGGUACAGAGUCAAUGUGGAGGCUAUAUACAGGGGGUACCGGUACAGAGUCAAUGUGGAGGCUAUAUACAGGGGGUACCGGUACAGAGUCAAUGUGGAGGCUAUAUACAGGGGUGUACCGGUACAGAGUCAAUGUGGAGGCUAUAUACAGGGGGUACCGGUACAGAGUCAAUGUGGAGGCUAUAUACUGGGGUACCGGUACAGUGUCAAUGUGGAGACUAUAUACAGGGGGUACCGGUACAGAGUCAAUGUGGAGGCUAUAUACAGGGGGUACCGGUACAGAGUCAAUGUGGAGGAUAUAUACAGGGGGUACCGGUACAGAGUCAAUGUGGAGGCUAUAUACAGGGGGGUACCGGUAAAGAGUCAAUGUGGAGACUAUAUACAGGGGGGUACCGGUACAGAGUCAAUGUGGAGGCUAUAUACAGGGGGGUACCGGUACAGAGUCAAUGUGGAGGCUAUAUACAGGGGGUACCGGUACAGAGUCAAUGUGGAGGCUAUAUACAGGGGGUACCGGUACAGAGUCAAUGUGGAGGCUAUAUACAGGGUGUUACGGUACAGAGUCAAUGUGGAGGCUAUAUACAGGGUGUUACAGUACAGAGUCAAUGUGGAGGCUAUAUACAGGGGGGUACCAGUACAGAGUCAAUGUGGAGGCUAUAUACAGGGGGGUACCAGUACAGAGUCAAUGUGGAGGCUAUAUACAGGGGGUACCGGUACAGAGUCAAUGUGGAGGAUAGAUACAGGGGGGUACCAGUACAGAGUCA